rnacentral:rRNA from 1 species
UAAGGAAUAUUGGACAAUGGCCGCAAGGCUGAUCCAGCCAUGCCGCGUGCAGGAUGAAGGUGCUCUGCAUUGUAAACUGCUUUUGUUUGGGAAUAAACCCUUCUACGUGUAGAAGGCUGAAUGUACCAAAAGAAUAAGGGACGGCUAACUUCGUGCCAGCAGCCGCGGUAAUACGAAGGUCCCGAGCGUUAUCCGGAUUUAUUGGGUUUAAAGGGUGCGUAGGCGGAUUAUUAAGUCAGUGGUGAAAGCUCUCGGCUCAACCGGGAAAUUGCCAUUGAUACUGAUGAUCUUGAGUAUGAUUGAGGUUGGCGGAAUGUGUCAUGUAGCGGUGAAAUGCUUAGAUAUGACACAGAACACCGAUUGCGAAGGCAGCUAACUAAGUCAUAACUGACGCUGAUGCACGAAAGCGUGGGGAGCAAACAG